rnacentral:rRNA from 1 species
UAGCGGAACUCCUACGGGAGGCAGCAGUGGGGAAUAUUGGGCAAUGGGGGAAACCCUGACCCAGCAACGCCGCGUGAAGGAAGAAGGCUUUCGGGUUGUAAACUUCUUUUACCAGGGACGAAGGACGUGACGGUACCUGGAGAAAAAGCCACGGCUAACUACGUGCCAGCAGCCGCGGUAAUACGUAGGUGGCAAGCGUUGUCCGGAUUUACUGGGUGUAAAGGGCGUGUAGGCGGAGAAGCAAGUCAGAAGUGAAAUCCAUGGGCUUAACCCAUGAACUGCUUUUGAAACUGUUUCCCUUGAGUAUCGGAGAGGCAGGCGGAAUUCCUAGUGUAGCGGUGAAAUGCGUAGAUAUUAGGAGGAACACCAGUGGCGAAGGCGGCCUGCUGGACGACAACUGACGCUGAGGCGCGAAAGCGUGGGGAGCAAACAGGAUUAGAAACCCUAGUAGUCCACUUAUG